UGUAAAAUACUCUUUUCCCAUCUGGUGGUUGUUUUUGUCGUUCAACAGCAAUUUACUAGUGAAAUACGUUAUUAUUUCAUUUAAUUUCAUUUUUAUACAUUUUUAUUAAAUCAUGUCAUUUU